GUUAAGAACCGUUGCUCUAACUGCCUUUCUCUCUUUCCCAGAAAUUAGCCCAUGCCUGUCUAUAGCUGACAGGCUCUUACUAUAAAAGUGAGAGCACACAGAUGUAGGAGAGGAGCAAACCCAGGCCCUUUCCCUGGCAACUACAAGAGUCCCACAUUGUAACCCAGAACCAAGCUAACAUCAACUCACAGAGAUACCCCUGCCUCGGAGUGCUGGGAUUACAGGUAAAAAGGUGUGGACAUGUUGGAGAAUGCCUUCAAUCCAAGCAUUGGGUGAGUAGACAGGACUAUCUACCAGGCUCUCUAACCAAACCACCUACCUUAACCAGGGAGCACAGGUCCCAAUGACACCCUGCCUCAAAACCAAGAUGGCACUUAAGGAAUGAUGACACCUAAGGCCACACCCAUAUACACACCAAAAUGAAUUUUAAGAAAUUCUUUUUUACUUCUUAUUAACCAACCAUUACUCAAAGCCCAUUGUACUCCAUAAUUUUCUCACAUGAACUCCCCUGUUCGUUCUAAUACCACAGGUUGAGUGGGUCAUUGUGAGUACUGGUGUCCUCCUCCUGAGAGUAACCAGGUUAUAUUCAGGGUUUUGCCAAAACACAUAAACCUGCAAUAAUAUUGUACACAUAUCCUUGUGUGUUGGGUUUAUUUAUUUAUUUAUUUAUUUAUUUAUUUUUGGUAUCUGUGGGUUUUCCUACAC
rnacentral:lncRNA from 1 species